rnacentral:rRNA from 1 species
UAGGGAAUCUUCGGCAAUGGGGGGAACCCUGACCGAGCAACGCCGCGUGAGUGAAGAAGGUUUUCGGAUCGUAAAGCUCUGUUGUUAAGGAAGAACGAGUGUGAGAAUGGAAAGUUCAUGCUGUGACGGUACCUAACCAGAAAGCCACGGCUAACUACGUGCCAGCAGCCGCGGUAAUACGUAGGUGGCAAGCGUUGUCCGGAAUUAUUGGGCGUAAAGCGCGCGCAGGUGGUUUAGAAAGUCUGAUGUGAAAGCCCACGGCUCAACCGUGGAGGGUCAUUGGAAACUAAUAAACUUGAGUGCAGGAGAGAAAAGUGGAAUUCCUAGUGUAGCGGUGAAAUGCGUGGAGAUUAGGAGGAACACCGGUGGCGAAAGCGGCUUUUUGGCCUGCAACUGACACUGAGGCGCGAAAGCGUGGGGAGCAAACAGG